rnacentral:rRNA from 1 species
GACGGGGGUCCUAGCGUUGUUCGGAAUCAUUGGGCGUAAAGCGUGUGCAGACGGUUUGGAAAGUUGGAUGUGAAAGCCCCGAGCUCAACUCGGGAAGUGCAUUCAAAACUCCCAAACUUGAGUAAGGAAGAGGGUCGUGGAAUUCCAGGUGUAGUGGUGAAAUACGUAGAUAUCUGGAGGAACACCGGUGGCGAAGGCGGCGACCUGGUCCGUAUACUGACGUUCAUACACCGAAAGCGAUGG